AUAUUUGGCAGACCAUUGCAUUAGAAUUAGAAUCUGACUACCC
rnacentral:tRNA from 1 species